rnacentral:RNase_P_RNA from 2 species
UGAGUUGAUUAAAAUAGUCGCUUGUACGAAAUAUAAAUUUUGUAUAAGAGGAAAGUCCGGACUUCAUAAGGCAGGGUGCCAGAUAACUUCUGGGAAAUAUAAAAUAUUUACGAAAAGUGCAACAGAAAAAAUACCGCUUGUUUUUGCAAGUAAGGGUGAAAUGGUAUGGUAAGAGCAUACCGCAUUUUUGGUAACAAAAAUGGCAUUGCAAACUCCACUUGAAGAAAGGCUAAGUAUAGUUUAGUUCGCCUGACUAAUAAACUAGGGUAAGCUGAUUGAAUUAAUAUGCGAAUAUUAAUCUAGAAAAAUGACUAUUUAAAACAGAAUCCGGCUUAUUAAUCAACUCUUUUU